AUACGGAGGGUGCAAGCGUUAAUCGGAAUUACUGGGCGUAAAGCGCACGCAGGCGGUCUGUCAAGUCGGAUGUGAAAUCCCCGGGCUCAACCUGGGAACUGCAUUCGAAACUGGCAGGCUUGAGUCUUGUAGAGGGGGGGAGAAUUCCAGGUGUAGCGGUGAAAUGCGUAGAGAUCUGGAGGAAUACCGGUGGCGAAGGCGGCCCCCUGGACAAAGACUGACGCUCAGGUGCGAAAGCGUGGGGAGCAAACAGGAUUAGAUACCCUGGUAGUCCACGCCGUAAACGAUGUCUACUUGGAGGUUGUGCCCUUGAGGCGUGGCUUCCGGAGCUAACGCGUUAAGUAGACCGCCUGGGGAGUACGGCCGCAAGGUUAAAACUCAAAUGAAUUGACGGGGGCCCGCACAAGCGGUGGAGCAUGUGGUUUAAUUCGAUGCAACGCGAAGAACCUUACCUGGUCUUGACAUCCACGGAAGUUUUCAGAGAUGAGAAUGUGCCUUCGGGAACCGUGAGACAGGUGCUGCAUGGCUGUCGUCAGCUCGUGUUGUGAAAUGUUGGGUUAAGUCCCGCAACGAGCGCAACCCUUAUCCUUUGUUGCCAGCGGUCCGGCCGGGAACUCAAAGGAGACUGCCAGUGAUAAACUGGAGGAAGGUGGGGAUGACGUCAAGUCAUCAUGGCCCUUACGACCAGGGCUACACACGUGCUACAAUGGCGCAUACAAAGAGAAGCGACCUCGCGAGAGCAAGCGGACCUCAUAAAGUGCGUCGUAGUCCGGAUUGGAGUCUGCAACUCGACUCCAUGAAGUCGGAAUCGCUAGUAAUCGUGGAUCAGAAUGCCACGGUGAAUACGUUCCCGGGCCUUGUACACACCGCCCGUCACACCAUGGGAGUGGGUUGCAAAAGAAGUAGGUAGCUUAACCUUCGGGAGGGCGCUUACCACUUUGUGAUUCAUGACUGGGGUGAAGUCGUAACAAGGUAACCGUAGGGGAACCUGCGGUUG
rnacentral:rRNA from 1 species